rnacentral:rRNA from 1 species
UACGGAGGGUGCGAGCGUUAAUCGGAAUUACUGGGCGUAAAGCGUGCAUAGGUGGUUGGAUAAGUUAUCUGUGAAAUCCCUGGGCUUAACCUGGGCAGGUCAGAUGAUACUGUUUGACUCGAGUAUGGGAGAGGGUAGUGGAAUUUCCGGUGUAGCGGUGAAAUGCGUAGAGAUCGGAAGGAACACCAGUGGCGAAGGCGGCUACCUGGCCUAAUACUGACACUGAGGCACGAAAGCGUGGGGAGCAAACAGG